rnacentral:rRNA from 1 species
UUGCCAGACUCCUACGGGAGGCAGCAGUGGGGGAUAUUGCACAAUGGGGGGAACCCUGAUGCAGCGACGCCGCGUGGGUGAAGGAGCGUUUCGGCGCGUAAAGCCCUAUCGGCAGGGAAGAAGGAGGACGGUACCUGACUAAGAAGCCCCGGCUAACUAUGUGCCAGCAGCCGCGGGAAUACAUAGGGGGCAAGCGUUAUCCGGAUUUAUUGGGUGUAAAGGGUGCGUAGACGGAGAAACAAGUUGGUUGUGAAAUCCCUCGGCUCAACUGAGGAACUGCAACCAAAACUAUUUCCCUUGAGUGUCGGAGAGGAAAGUGGAAUUCCUAGUGUAGCGGUGAAAUGCGUAGAUAUUAGGAGGAACACCAGUGGCGAAGGCGACUUUCUGGACGAUAACUGACGUUGAGGCACGAAAGUGUGGGGAGCAAACAGGAUUAGAUACCCCCGUACA